rnacentral:rRNA from 1 species
UACGGAGGGUGCAAGCGUUGCUCGGAAUUAUUGGGCGUAAAGAGCUCGUAGGCGGCUUGUCACGUCGGGUGUGAAAGCCCGGGGCUUAACCCCGGGUCUGCAUUCGAUACGGGCAGGCUAGAGUGUGGUAGGGGAGAUCGGAAUUCCUGGUGUAGCGGUGAAAUGCGCAGAUAUCAGGAGGAACACCGGUGGCGAAGGCGGAUCUCUGGGCCAUUACUGACGCUGAGGAGCGAAAGCGUGGGGAGCGAACAGG